AACGCGAAGAACCUUACCUGGGUUUGACAUCCCCGGACCGCCCUAGAGAUAGGGUUUCCCUUUCGGGGGCCGGGAGACAGGUGCUGCAUGGCUGUCGUCAGCUCGUAUCGUGAGAUGUCGGGUUAAGUCCCUUAACGAGCGCAACCCUUGUCCUUAGUUACCACCAUUUAGUUGGGUACUCUAAGGAGACUGCCGGUGUUAAACCGGAGGAAGGUGGGGAUGACGUCAAGUCCUCAUGGCCCUUAUGUCCAGGGCUACACACGUGCUACAAUGGCCGGUACAGAGGGUUGCCAACCCGCGAGGGGGAGCUAAUCUCAGAAAGCCGGUCUCAGUUCGGAUUGAAGUCUGCAACUCGACUUCAUGAAGCUGGAAUCGCUAGUAAUCGCGGAUCAGAACGCCGCGGUGAAUACGUUCUCGGGCCUUGUACACACCGCAUAC
rnacentral:rRNA from 1 species